AGUGAACGCUGGCGGUAGGCCUAACACAUGCAAGUCGAACGGCAGCACAGUAAGAGCUUGCCCUUACGGGUGGCGAGUGGCGGACGGGUGAGGAAUACAUCGGAAUCUACUUUUUCGUGGGGGAUAACGUAGGGAAACUCACGCUAAUACCGCAUACGACCUACGGGUGAAAGCAGGGGAUCUUCGGACCUUGCGCGAUUGAAUGAGCCGAUGUCGGAUUAGCUAGUUGGCGGGGUAAAGGCCCACCAAGGCGACGAUCCGUAGCUGGUCUGAGAGGAUGAUCAGCCACACUGGAACUGAGACACGGUCCAGACUCCUACGGGAGGCAGCAGUGGGGAAUAUUGGACAAAGGGCGCAAGCCUGAUCCAGCCAUACCGCGUGGGUGAAGAAGGCCUUCGGGUUGUAAAGCCCUUUUGUUGGGAAAGAAAAGCAGCAGGUUAAUACCCCGCUGUUCUGACGGUACCCAAAGAAUAAGCACCGGCUAACUUCGUG
rnacentral:rRNA from 1 species